AACGGUUACUCUUCUCUCCUCACGCACGCUGCCCCCUCAGACCUCACCCUUUUCUGUUUCGUUCGCUCAUGGCUUAAACGCUGUCCACUAUCUCAUCUCAGCCAAACCCUUUCACCUCUUCUCUCUUUCUCUGUCUGUUCAUAGUCUCUGCCGCCUCAAGUCUUGGCCUCUAAAGCCUGGUAUUCUGAAGAGAGAGAGAGGCCACUAGGAGCAGAGGCUGAGAGGUAGUGUUGGUAGCCGGAGACCGGAGUGAUUAGACUCAUCCAUAGCUGUUGGCGUAAUCACAUUUUGAAAUUGGAACUCAGGAUUUUGAAGUUGAGAAUAGCUUAUAGCUUGAGACACAGAGAUCUCAGACAUGGUGGGGCUUAUUGGGAGACUUUGGAAUUUACAAUAUAAGAGUAUAGUGAAAGAAGCAUCAGGAAAAACCCUUGCAGUGGCAAAGUUCUUCUGCGUCCUUCACGUCACCAACACUUACCUCUGCACCUUUGCCCUCGCCUAUGGUCCCAGCAUGAUCCCGACCUUCAAUCUAACCGGCGAUAUGUUCUUGGCGGAGCGGCUCUCCAUCAAAUUUGGCAAAGUGAGCCCUGGGGAUAUUGUCCUCUUACGUUCUCCUGAAUCUCCUCGAAAAGUCAUGGUGAAGCGCUUGUUGGGAUUGGAGUCUCAUUCUGUCACCUAUGUUGUUGACCCCAUGAACAGUGAUAGAUGUGACACUAUUAUGGUUCCAAAGGGACAUGUUUGGGUAGAGGGAGACAACAUCUAUAAUUCCAGAGAUUCAAGACAAUUUGGUCCUGUUCCUUACAGUCUCCUUGAAGGCAAAGUAUUCUGUAAGAUAUGGCCUCCUAAAGAGUUUGGAUCACUGAUGAAGAGCGGAAUGAAGGAUCCAGAUUUAUAAGGCUUUGUGGUGGAUGCUAUUUAGCUUUCCGAUACUAAUAACAAGUUACCUUUGGUGUCUUUUCCUGGACGUAUGUCCUAAUUUGCUAAAACUAACAAAGCGUCAUAUCUCUAAAGUUCAUAAUGGCUUUACAAUUUCAGACAGGAGCAUUAUCAGCUGUGGGUUUGGAUUUUCUACAUUUUUUACUUUGCCUAGCUAAGAGCCUUAUCAAGGACUGAAUCCCUCUACCUCACUUGUUAACAAUUGAAUUAUAAAAAAUAAAAAAAAUAAAAAACAUUGUUUACAUUGUCUCUGUUUGCUGGAAUGCUAGUGCUAAAGCCUAUGAAGUAAAUUAGAUUUGUUAUUAUUGAACUCAAUUGAAAGAUUAUUGCUUUCUAUGAAUUGAACUAA